GCCCCCUCGCCUGGCGGUGACCGGGUCGCCCCCGCAGGGUCACCCGCGGCUCCCACCGCGGCUCCCGCCUGGCAGCUCCGGAAGUCCCUGCCGGCAGCGCCCCUUCGUGGCUCGGAGAGCGCAGCGUCGACCCUGGAGUCGCCGGGAAGGGGCCCCUGCUCAGGCCCGCGAGUCCCGCGGCAGGUGUCAGCCCGUGGUCGCCCAGCCUGCGGUCACAGCAGCUUGACCUUGGGGUGCCCGGGAUACCCAGUGGUUGAAUCAGCAAAGGGCCUUUGAAGAAUACACAGAAUGUGAAAGUGCCACACUUCUGAAGGCAACAAUGUUUGGUUUCUUGCCCAAGGUGGAGGCAGGGAUUGAAGCUCUUCGUCUUCUCUUAUUGCUGUUCUUACCCAAUACUGAGAGCCCUUUACCCGAGCCCUGGAGACAACAGAGUUUGCUGCCCCUUUCCCAGUGGCUUGAAGCCUUAUCAUUCAUAGAAAGGGUAUGACAACCAGACUUUUGUUCUUUCCAUAGUGGGAGGUUACUCUCCUCCAGCAAGGCCUUCACCUCCAAAGGAGGCACUCACUCUCUGGUGUCCUGCUUUGUUCCCAGUUUUCCUCAUCAGCACCCAGUGAGAACAUGGAGAAGUGGAAGCAAGCUCCUUUUUUUGUCUGAGGCUUACAGAGAUUGUGAACUUUCCUCCUGGUCCACAUUUGGCCUUUAGCAUCUGUUAACAAUUUUAGCUGAAUUCUUAGCAUUCUGUUUGGUACCUGAUGUCUCCUCUUCAGUGCUCACAUCCUAUCUCUUCUUGGUGGGGCCAGCCUUUCCUUGGAUCUCAAGUUACUUGCUGGGUCUGCGACCCUUGCUGUGAUGUCCAACUAUCCCAACUUGUGUGGUACUGAGGAGUUUCCCAGGACGUGGGACUUAAAGAACUAAAACUGGGAAAAGUCCAGUAGGUCACCCUAGCCUCAGCUCUCCAACAGGUUCAAGAGAAGCUUUUCUAUAGUUUUUCUAGUUGUUUAGGUGAGAGUGAUGUUCUUUCUAGGUUUCUACAUCCUAGGUAGAAGCCAAAUUGGUGAAAUAAUUACACAUGUUGAAAGUGAACAAAAAUGGUUCUUGAGAUAGUAAAAAGCCAUAUUUGGUAAACAUCUGUUUCUUACUAAGGCAGAUGGGUUUUUUGUGAAAUCCCUAAAAUAGAGAAUAAGCAAAAUUAGUUUAGUCUCUUCCAUUCUUUUGUCUGUCAACAACAGAUAUAUCUCAUUACGUAAAUAAACUCUAGAUGAAGAGAUAGAUUCUCA
rnacentral:lncRNA from 1 species